GACGAACGCUGGCGGCGUGCCUAAUACAUGCAAGUAGAACGCACAGUUUAUACCGUAGCUUGCUACACCAUAGACUGUGAGUUGCGAACGGGUGAGUAACGCGUAGGUAACCUGCCUGGUAGCGGGGGAUAACUAUUGGAAACGAUAGCUAAUACCGCAUAAUAUUAAUUAUUGCAUGAUAAUUAAUUGAAAGGUGCAAUUGCACCACUACCAGAUGGACCUGCGUUGUAUUAGCUAGUAGGUGAGGUAACGGCUCACCUAGGCGACGAUACAUAGCCGACCUGAGAGGGUGAUCGGCCACACUGGGACUGGGACACGGCCCAGACUCCUACGGGAGGCAGCAGUAGGGAAUCUUCGGCAAUGGACGAAAGUCUGACCGAGCAACGCCGCGUGAGUGAAGAAGGUUUUCGGAUCGUAAAGCUCUGUUGUAAGAGAAGAACGGGUGUGAGAGUGGAAAGUUCACACUGUGACGGUAUCUGACCAGAAAGGGACGGCUAACUACGUG
rnacentral:rRNA from 1 species